rnacentral:rRNA from 1 species
GAUGAACGCUGGCGGCGUGCCUAAUACAUGCAAGUCGAGCGAACAGACGAGGAGCUUGCUCCUUUGACGUUAGCGGCGGACGGGUGAGUAACACGUGGGUAACCUACCUAUAAGACUGGGAUAACUUCGGGAAACCGGAGCUAAUACCGGAUAAUAUUUCGAACCGCAUGGUUCGAUAGUGAAAGAUGGCUUUGCUAUCACUUAUAGAUGGACCUGCGCCGUAUUAGCUAGUUGGUAAGGUAACGGCUUACCAAGGCAACGAUACGUAGCCGACCUGAGAGGGUGAUCGGCCACACUGGAACUGAGACACGGUCCAGACGCCUACGGGAGGCAGCAGUAGGGAAUCUUCCGCAAUGGGCGAAAGCCUGACGGAGCAACGCCGCGUGAGUGAUGAAGGUCUUCGGAUCGUAAAACUCUGUUAUUUGGGAAGAACAAACGUGUAAGUAACGGUGCACGUCUUGACGGUACCGAAUCAGAAAGCCACGGCUAACUACGU